GAUUUUUUUUUUACUUCUUUCAAGCAACGCCCUAGAUAAAAUUCCUGGCUUCGCCACUGCUUCCAGUUAUGUAAUAUUGUGAUCACUUUACUAUGUAGUAUCGUACUAUUUUAUGUUAGGUAGUUUGUGUGCUUUUGAUCUUAGCUGGAUUGUAUACCAAUUUUUUAAGUUGGCCCUUUCUAGUUUCCUUGUGUUUGAAAAGUGUGGGACAGCAUCCUGUGACCAAUUUUUCAAAGUGGCCAAAUUUCCACUGAGAUUCUCCAUGAAUGAUACUGGAUUUAUUAAUCGGCCCGACUUAUGAUGCAUUACAGAUCCUUUAAAGAUGCCAAUGCUAAAUGUAUCGAAAGAAAAGGGAAGAACACCGUGGGAGAUUUUUCCAGGAGUUGAUUCCAUCCAUGGCUCAAAUGAUGCUUCACUUUUUUCGAACUCAGUGCCUGUUCUUCUACAUGAGAAGCGUAGGAAUACAUUUAUGAGUCUUCUACUCCUACUUCAUUUGCCUAUUUUCUUUGAGAAAAUCUCACAUCCUUUUACUUUCCUUGCUCAGUGCCUGUUCUUCUACACGAGAAGCGUAGGAAUACAUUUAUGAGUCUUCUACUCCUACUUCAUUUGCCUAUUUUCUUUGAGAAAAUCUCACAUCCUUUUACUUUCCUUGAAAUUCUUGGUAAUAGU
rnacentral:lncRNA from 1 species